UACGUAGGGUGCGAGCGUUAAUCGGAAUUACUGGGCGUAAAGCGUGCGCAGGCGGUUCGUUGUGUCCGAUGUGAAAGCCCCGAGCUCAACUUGGGAAUGGCAUUGGAAACUGGCGGGCUGGAGUGUGGCAGAGGGGGGUGGAAUUCCACGUGUAGCAGUGAAAUGCGUAGAGAUGUGGAGGAACACCGAUGGCGAAGGCAGCCCCCUGGGCCAACACUGACGCUCAGGCACGAAAGCUAGGGGAGCGAACAGG
rnacentral:rRNA from 1 species